rnacentral:rRNA from 1 species
GACGAACGCUGGCGGCGUGCUUAACACAUGCAAGUCGAACGAAGAGCGAUGGAAGCUUGCUUCUAUCAAUCUUAGUGGCGAACGGGUGAGUAACGCGUAAUCAACCUGCCCUUCAGAGGGGGACAACAGUUGGAAACGACUGCUAAUGCCGCAUACGAUCUAAUCUCGGCAUCGAGGAUAGAUGAAAGGUGGCCUCUACAUGUAAGCUAUCACUGAAGGAGGGGAUUGCGUCUGAUUAGCUAGUUGGAGGGGUAACGGCCCACCAAGGCGAUGAUCAGUAGCCGGUCUGAGAGGAUGAACGGCCACAUUGGGACUGAGACACGGCCCAGACUCCUACGGGAGGCAGCAGUGGGGAAUCUUCCGCAAUGGACGAAAGUCUGACGGAGCAACGCCGCGUGAGUGAUGACGGCCUUCGGGUUGUAAAGCUCUGUUAAUCGGGACGAAAGGCCUUCUUGCGAAUAGUGAGAAGGAUUGACGGUACCGGAAUAGAAAGCCACGGCUAACUACGUG